UACAGAGGGGGCAAGCGUUAUUCGGAAUUAUUGGGCGUAAAGGGCGCGUAGGCGGCCUUUCAAGUGACGGGUGAAAGCCCUCGGCUUAACCGAGGAACUGCCUGUCAGACUGGAAGGCUUGAGACCGGGGAGAGGUGAGUGGAAUUCCCAGUGUAGCGGUGAAAUGCGUAGAUAUUUGGGAGGAACACCAGUGGCGAAGGCGGCUCACUGGACCGGUACUGACGCUGAGGCGCGAAAGCGUGGGGAGCAAACAGG
rnacentral:rRNA from 1 species